UACGUAGGGGGCAAGCGUUAUCCGGAUUUGCUGGGUGUAAAGGGGGCGCAGACGGCAGCGCAAGCCAGGAGUGAAAGCCCGGGGCCCAACCCCGGGACUGCUCUUGGAACUGCGCGGCUGGAGUGCAGGAGGGGCAGGCGGAAUUCCUGGUGUAGCGGUGAAAUGCGUAGAUAUUAGGAAGAACACCAGUGGCGAAGGCGGCUUUCUGGACUGAAACUGACGCUGAGGCUCGAAAGCGUGGGGAGCGAACAGG
rnacentral:rRNA from 1 species